GAUGAACGCUAGCUACAGGCUUAACACAUGCAAGUCGAGGGGAAACGAUGAGAGAGCUUGCUCUCUUAGGCGUCGACCGGCGCACGGGUGAGUAACGCGUAUCCAACCUACCCAUUACAGGGGGAUAACCUUGCGAAAGUAAGACUAAUACCCCAUGGCAUUUUAUGGUGGCAUCAUUAUAGGAUUAAAGAUUUAUUGGUAAUGGAUGGGGAUGCGUCUGAUUAGCUUGUUGGCGGGGUAACGGCCCACCAAGGCAACGAUCAGUAGGGGUUCUGAGAGGAAGGUCCCCCACAUUGGAACUGAGACACGGUCCAAACUCCUACGGGAGGCGGCAGUGAGGAAUAUUGGUCAAUGGGCGAGAGCUUGAACCAGCCAAGUAGCGUGCAGGAUGACGGCCCUAUGGGUUGUAAACUGCUUUUAUAGGGGAAUAAAGUGAGCUACGUGUAGUUUAUUGCAUGUACCCUAUGAAUAAGGACCGGCUAAUUCCGUG
rnacentral:rRNA from 1 species